UCGGGUUGUAUGAAUUCUAGCCGAGCCACCGGGGGUGCUGAAUCUAACGAGCGGCUGCCCGUCUGAUUACAGCAGUAUCGAGGUGAAAGCCCACCCCUUCAGGGGUGGGAUGAAACCGACAGCUUAGAUUUA
rnacentral:sRNA from 1 species